rnacentral:miRNA from 1 species
AUCGCUCUGUUAUGCUUCGG